UCCGAAGUUCGCUCCGGUGGCUGGAUAUCACUGGUUUGAUGGAGACGGAAUGGUUCAUGCCAUGCGUAUCAAAGAUGGGAAAGCAACAUAUGUUUCACGUUAUGUUCAGACAUCACGCCUUAAGCAAGAAGAGUUUUUUGGAGAUGCAAAAUUUAUGAAGAUUGGAGACCUUAAAGGACUAUUUGGCUUGUUCAUGGUCCAAGUGCAACUUCUUCGAGCAAAACUCAAAGUUUUGGAUGUUUCAUAUGGAACUGCAACAGCUAAUACAGCUCUGACAUACCAUCACGGUAAACUUCUGGCUCUGUCGGAGGGAGAUAAACCUUAUGUUGUCAAAGUUCUAGAAGAUGGGGACUUGCAAACUCUAGGAUUGUUGGAUUAUGACAAGAGGUUGUCACACAACUUCACUGCUCAUCCCAAGGUUGACCCAUUCACUGAUGAGAUGUUUACAUUUGGUUAUUCGCACUCACCUCCCUAUUGCACUUAUCGGGUCAUAACUAAGGAGGGUGUAAUGCUGGAUCCAGUGCCAAUAACAAUAUCAGAUCCUGUCAUGAUGCACGACUUUGCCAUCACUGAAAACUAUGCAGUUUUCAUGGAUCUUCCUUUAUAUUUCCGACCAAAGGAAAUGGUCAAGGGAAAGUUGAUCAUUUCAUUUGAUGCUACAAAGAAAGCUCGCUUUGGCGU
rnacentral:misc_RNA from 1 species